AUUGAACGCUGGCGUAAUGCUUUACACAUGCAAGUCGAACGGCAGCACGGGGGCAACCCUGGUGGCGAGUGGCGAACGGGUGAGUAAUACAUCGGAACGUGCCCGGUCGUGGGGGAUAACGUAGCGAAAGUUACGCUAAUACCGCAUACGAUCUGAGGAUGAAAGCGGGGGACCUUCGGGCCUCGCGCGAUCGGAGCGGCCGAUGUCAGAUUAGGUAGUUGGUGGGGUAAAGGCCUACCAAGCCGACGAUCUGUAGCUGGUCUGAGAGGACGACCAGCCACACUGGGACUGAGACACGGCCCAGACUCCUACGGGAGGCAGCAGUGGGGAAUUUUGGACAAUGGGCGCAAGCCUGAUCCAGCCAUUCCGCGUGCAGGACGAAGGCCUUCGGGUUGUAAACUGCUUUUGUAUGGAACGAAAAGGCUCUGGCUAAUACCUGGGGCUCAUGACGGUACCGUAAGAAUAAGCACCGGCUAACUACGUG
rnacentral:rRNA from 1 species